UGUAAAAAUCAAAUCAAAACCCUAAAGCCUUAACAUUCAGACCUCCAUUUUAAGCCGUAAAAAAAAAAGAAAAAAAAACUAAGCCCUCUUGCCCUCCUCUGCCGCAGUUCCACCAUGAACGGUGGUUGGAGCCUCACCACCAAGGGCUUCUCAGCUCCUUUUCGCGUGGAUCCAAGAGCGUUCAGGUGUCGUACGAAGACGUGGCAUGGCUCGGCACGGCGCAUGGACAGAGGCUCGUGUGUGAGGAGCGGCUUGGCUGCAACGCAAGAGCAGAAAGCUAUUGAAGGCUAGGGUUAGGUGAUUGGGUUGAUUGGGCCAUUGGGUGUUUAGGCUAGUUGGGCUUAAUGGGCUGGGGACAUGUAUUUGGGUUUGGUUUGUAUUUUGUUUGUAAUUUGGACUGUGGAUUUUUGUUCACUUUGGGCUUCAGGCAAAAUUUGGGCCCUACAUUAGGUGUUAGCGAAUUAAUGUUAUGUACAACCAAAUGAUCUUGUAUAAGAAUCUUAUAGUUUGAUAAGUGAAAUAAGUGUUAAAUGUUGA